rnacentral:rRNA from 1 species
UGACCGCUGGCGGUAGGCCUACCACAUGCACGUCGCACGGCAGCACAGUAAGAGCUUGCUCUUACGGGUGGCGAGUGGCGGACGGGUGAGGAAUACAUCGGAAUCUACUUUUUCGUGGGGGAUAACGUAGGGAAACUUACGCUAAUACCGCAUACGACCUACGGGUGAAAGCAGGGGAUCUUCGGACCUUGCGCGAUUGAAUGAGCCGAUGUCGGAUUAGCUAGUUGGCGGGGUAAAGGCCCACCAAGGCGACGAUCCGUAGCUGGUCUGAGAGGAUGAUCAGCCAGACUGGAACUGAGACACGGUCCAGACUCCUACGGGAGGCAGCAGUGGGGAAUAUUGGACAAUGGGCGAAAGCCUGAUCCAGCCAUACCGCGUGGGUGAAGAAGGCCUUCGGGUUGUAAAGCCCUUUUGUUGGGAAAGAAAAGCAGCAGGUUAAUACCCCGCUGUUCUGACGGUACCCAAAGAAUAAGCACCGGCUAACUUCGUG